AUUGAACGCUGGCGGCAGGCCUAACACAUGUAAGUCGAACGAGUGGCGGACGGGUGAGUAAGGUAUGGGAAACUGCCGGAUGGAGGGGGAUAAAUACUGGAAACGGUAGCUAAUCGCGCAUACCAUCAGAUGUGCCCAGAUGGGAUUAGCUUGGUGGUGGGGUAACGGCUCACCAAGGCGACGAACCCUAGCUGGUCUGAGAGGAUGACCAUCCACACGGGAACUGAGACACGGUCCAGACUCCGACGGGCGGCAGCAGUUGGGAAUAUUGCACAGUGGGCGCAAGCCUGAUGCAGCCAUGCCGCGUGUAUGAAGAAUGCCUUCGUGUUGUAAAGUACUUUCAGCGGGGAGUCGUUACCCGCAGGAGAAGCACCGGCUGACUCCGUGCCAGCCGCCGCGGUAAUAC
rnacentral:rRNA from 1 species